rnacentral:rRNA from 1 species
AGGACGAACGCUGGCGGCGUGCUUAACACAUGCAAGUCGAGCGGAAAGGCCCUUCGGGGUACUCGAGCGGCGAACGGGUGAGUAACACGUGAGUAAUCUGCCCCUAGCUCUGGGAUAGCUCCGGGAAACCGGGAUUAAUACCGGAUACGACCACUACGGACAUCUGUGGUGGUGGAAAGAACUUCGGCUAGGGAUGAGCUCGCGGCCUAUCAGCUUGUUGGUGGGGUAACGGCCUACCAAGGCGACGACGGGUAGCCGGCCUGAGAGGGCGACCGGCCACACUGGGACUGAGACACGGCCCAGACUCCUACGGGAGGCAGCAGUGGGGAAGUAUUGCGCAAUGGGCUAAAGCCUGACGCAGCGACGCCGCGUGGGGGAUGAAGGCCUUCGGGUUGUAAACCCCUUUCAGCAGGGACGAAGCGAAAGUGACGGUACCUGCAGAAGAAGCGCCGGCUAACUACGUGCCAGCAGCCGC